rnacentral:SRP_RNA from 1 species
GCCAGAUACAGUGGCACAUACCUAUAAUCCCAGCUACUGGGGAGGCUGAAACUGGUAUAGAUCUCUUGAGCUCAGGAGUUCUGUGCUGUUGUGAGCUAAGCCCAAUUGGUAUGCGCACUAAUCAUGGCAUUAAUAUGGUGAGCCCUCUGGGAAUGGGGUCCACCAGGUUGCCUAAGAGGGACACACAGGUCAAGACUGGAAAACAAGGCAGGUCAAAGCUCCUGUGUCAAUCAGAGUGGGACCCAUCUAUGAAUAACUCUGGCAUUCCAGCCUGGUUUCGAAAGAGAAAACCAGCCUUU